rnacentral:miRNA from 1 species
AACCCCUCAUUAGGGAGCUGUAAGUGAAAGAAUUGGGCAGGUAACCUUUAUUCUUCAUUUCAGACAAGAACUCCCUUGCUUCGUCUAGCUUCCCUUCUCGACAAAGACCAUCUAUAAGAGCACUA